rnacentral:tRNA from 1 species
GCCCGAGUAGCCCAAUUGGUAGAGGCGGCCGACUCAAGCUCGGCGCGUUGGGGGUUCGAGUCCCUCCUCGGGCA